GCGUGUGUGAAGAAGGCCUUCGGGUUGUAAAGCACUUUCAGUUGUGAGGAAAAGUUAGUAGUUAAUACCUGCUAGCCGUGACGUUAACAACAGAAGAAGCACCGGCUAACUCCGUGCCAGCAGCCGCGGUAAUACGGAGGGUGCGAGCGUUAAUCGGAAUUACUGGGCGUAAAGCGCACGCAGGCGGUUUGUUAAGCUAGAUGUGAAAGCCCCGGGCUCAACCUGGGAUAGUCAUUUAGAACUGGCAGACUAGAGUCUUGGAGAGGGGAGUGGAAUUCCAGGUGUAGCGGUGAAAUGCGUAGAUAUCUGGAGGAACAUCAGUGGCGAAGGCGACUCCCUGGCCAAAGACUGACGCUCAUGUGCGAAAGUGUGGGUAGCGAACAGGAUUAGAUACCCUGGUAGUCCACACCGUAAACGCUGUCUACUAGCUGUUUGUGACUUUAAGUCGUGAGUAGCGAAGCUAACGCGCUAAGUAGACCGCCUGGGGAGUACGGCCGCAAGGUUAAAACUCAAAUGAAUUGACGGGGGCCCGCACAAGCGGUGGAGCAUGUGGUUUAAUUCGAUGCAACGCGAAGAACCUUACCUACACUUGACAUGCUGAGAACUUUCUAGAGAUAGAUUGGUGCCUUCGGGAACUCAGACACAGGUGCUGCAUGGCUGUCGUCAGCUCGUGUCGUGAGAUGUUGGGUUAAGUCCCGCAACGAGCGCAACCCUUGUCCUUAGUUGCCAGCCUUAAGUUGGGCACUCUAAGGAGACUGCCGGGUGACAAA
rnacentral:rRNA from 1 species